CCGCCAGUGAAAGGAGAGAUAUGCAUGAAAAAUCUACUGGAGCCGGCGAAAAACUUCAACUGGACAAAAGAAGAAUAUUUAGAAGAAUUAAGGAGAGAAUUGGCAGGAGAGGACGAUCGAGCAGAAUUUUCUUUGACAGGUCUUACUUGGGGGCAUCGCAAUUCCAUAUCCUUUGGAAUCAAGUUCCGUUCCAACGCGAGUUAAUUCGCAGUUUCUCUCAAUUACGUACUCUAUCGAUGUGGAUUCCAUCAGGAAGGCAUAACUACCCCGGCCUUUUGCAACCCACUCCACCCCUUCCACGUUAUUCUUUGUGAAUACACCUGGUUUGGCAGAUUUCAUGAAGGACCACAUACGUUGAUACGUUGAAAAAUUGGAGUCCUGAAAUCGUUAUAAUUUCAUGUCAAAGCGACCGAAGUUCUGCACUCAGCAAUUCAAUAUUUAUAAAUAUUCUUUCCACGAGGAAAAAAAUUGUAUAAAAAAUACUCAGACAAUCAUAAAGAACGUCACAUAUCGAGAGUAAUCGUGAGGUGAAAUCAAGAUCCUCAGCACUUUCAAUCGGCGAUUCCAUUCUCUCAACAGUGAGAAAUGCAGCGAGAUUUGCUGUGUACGAUGAAAUCAUGAUAAGAGUGAAGAACCACCACAUACCGGCCACCAUCCGUGUUGACACUGCUCUGAAGGAGUGAAAUAAUAUUGGGGAGUGCUGAAGGCAUGAAUGAUUUAUGGUUUGUCACGUGGAGUCCUCAAAUACUCAGACGUCUCCAAUAAUUGUGGGAGACUGAGAAUAUGAGUUGACAAUAAAUUCUUCAUAAUUGAAGUAAUCAUGCAGGACUCUUGAUUGGAACGAACAUGCAGUCACACAAGAGCUUAAAAACGUGGAUAUUCACAUGAAAAAUAUAUAAUUUUUAUUAAAUAGUUUUUUUCGCAUAAAAAUGAGUUUUGUUAGAAAAGUUUGAGGGCAAUUACAUUCGCAAAUUGCCGGGUAUCAUACACCGAUAAUAUUUAUUGCAAUCCCAAAAUGACAAAUUUCAGCAUGAGGACUUCAAGUGAACAUCCACAGUAACAUGUAUAUCGGUAAUAAAUAAAUAAAUCAAUUAAACGAGUGCACAAUUUAGGAUGAGCUAGCGUAUUCUUCGAUACUAACGUAGGCUACUGCAGCACGCCUACGAUAUAGCAUCGAAAAUCAUCAUAACUAACGUUUCGUUUUAAUAUUUAAUCGUGAAUGUUGAUCAUUUACUGUCUCGUUAACACAAUUCGUAGCUAUAAGUAUUAUCAACUUACUUCGGUGCUAUAUCAGAGCCUUGCUGCAUGAGUGAGCCUAUGGUGAACCAGAGCGAAUUGAGAAGAGUGAACUCGUUCUCGCAGGCCUCAAAUUGUGCGCUGCAAGUAUGGGAAUUCUCCCACUCAUAUGGACUGAACCUGCGGACAUGUUAACGGAAACUGGAGAUGGAAUUAAGUCUCACAGGGAGAGAUAUUUCAGUGGAAUAUUCCAGUGCUGAUACUGGAAAUUUUGGUGGGUGUUAAACCUGAAUAUUUCCCCCAAUUUCUGGAAAAUUAUCUCCAAAGAUAUCAAUUUAGUUCAUCAUUUUUUCAUGAUAUUAGAACUCUGAGGUUCUUGGGUACUCAAUUCUUGGUUCUUGGUUCUGAGGCUCUUGGGAACUCAAUGGUAGCCACUACU